AAUGGGCAAAGGUGAAGGGGAUUAAGAGGUAUAAAUUUCCAGUUAUAAAAUAAAUAAGUCACAAGAUGAAAAGUACAGCAUAGGGGAUAUAGUCAAUAACACUGUAAUAACAUUAUUGUGGUGAGCAUU